AGGAAUACCAGUGGCGAAGGCGGCCUUCUGGACUGACACUGACACUGAGGUGCGAAAGCGUGGGUAGCAAACAGGAUUAGAUACCCUGGUAGUCCACGCCGUAAACGAUGUCGACUAGCCGUUGGGGUCCUUGAGACCUUUGUGGCGCAGUUAACGCGAUAAGUCGACCGCCUGGGGAGUACGGCCGCAAGGUUAAAACUCAAAUGAAUUGACGGGGGCCCGCACAAGCGGUGGAGCAUGUGGUUUAAUUCGAUGCAACGCGAAGAACCUUACCUACCCUUGACAUCGAGAGAACUUUCCAGAGAUGGAUUGGUGCCUUCGGGAACUCUCARACAGGUGCUGCAUGGCUGUCGUCAGCUCGUGUUGUGAAAUGUUGGGUUAAGUCCCGUAACGAGCGCAACCCUUGUCCCUAUUUGCCAGCGAUUCGGUCGGGAACUCUAGGGAGACUGCCGGUGACAAACCGGAGGAAGGUGGGGACGACGUCAAGUCAUCAUGGCCCUUACGGGUAGGGCUACACACGUGCUACAAUGGUCGGUACAAUGGGUUGCGAAGCCGCGAGGUGGAGCUAAUCCCAUAAAGCCGGUCUCAGUCCGGAUCGGAGUCUGCAACUCGACUCCGUGAAGUCGGAAUCGCUAGUAAUYGUGAAUCAGAAUGUCACUGUGAAUACGUUCCCGGACAAUKUUCACCCUGCUACCCAUGAGUYUGAUCCUGGUUCCCUCAGAAACAAAGUCGUAACAAGGU
rnacentral:rRNA from 1 species